CGCAAGCAACAGUUGCGGAAGUGGAAAAUAGACUGCAAAGCCAAGACUAUGCCCAAACAAUGACUACAUUCUUCCAUAAACUUAAAACCGCCAGUGAUAAUGUAACAGACGUAAUACCGAAGGUUUUCUCAGAUAAGCUCUUCGAAGGAUAUAAUUAGGAUGGCAGAUGGAGCAAGAAUCCCUAUUCAAGUUGGCGCUGGUUGAGACCAUUUUAAAAAAUGUGUUUCAACAACAAGGGUGUAGGAGUUUCGAACAAAAUAUAAAGCGGUCAAUACUGCUCAGCCAUCACAAAUUAAACCAGCGUACUUAUUUAAAAAACAAACGGAAACAAUAACUACAUUUAAAAACUAAACAAAUUCAAACAAAAUAAGAAAAAACGUUAACUUCGGUUGAACCGAAGCUAAAUACCCUUCACAGGUGCAUUUCUGUUAGUAACUAUGUGUUCAGUUUGUAUGGAAGCUAUAUGCUAUAGUAAUCCGUUCUAAACAAGUUUUUUACAGAUUACAGUGUUGCCUUAAAAAAAAACAAAUAUCAAAUUUCGUCAAUAUAUUUUGUCAAAUGUGAAAGUGGUCCAUACAAGAACUUUAUUCCGAUCGUUCAGUUUGUAUGGCAGCUAUAUGCUAUAGUUAACCGAUCUGAACAAUUUCUUCGGAGAUUACAUUGUUACCUUAGAAAAUAACAUAUAUCAAGUUCCGUGAAUAUAUCUUGUCAAAUGUGAAAGUUUUCCAUACAAGCAUUUGAUUCCGAUCGUUCAGUUUGUAUGGCAGCUAUAUGUUAUAGUGGUCCGAUAUCGGCCGUUCCGACAAAUGAGCAGCUUCUUGAGGAGAAAAUGAAGUUUGCAAAAUUUCAAAACGAUAUCUUAAAAACUGAGAGACAAGUUCGUAUAUGUACAGACAGACGGACAGACGGACAGACAGACAGACGGACAUGGCUAAAUCGACUCAGCUCGACAUACUGAUCAUUUAUAUAUAUACUUUAUAGGGUCUCCGACGAUUCCUUCUGGGUGUUACAAACUUCGUGACAAACUUAAUAUACCCUGUUCAGGGUAU